GGACAGCCCACCAGGGUCUGCUUCUGUGAGGGGCCGAGGCGUCAUUCCGCGAAGCCUUCUCCUUGCUGUUGCCAUGUGAAGAAGGAUGUGUUUGCUUCCCCUUCUGCCAUGAUUGUAAGUUUUCUGAAGCCUCUCCAGCCAUGCCAAACUCAUUUUGCACAGAGCUUGGCAGUUACAUAGUAGAUGUUGAACAAUUUCUUCUGUGUUUCAGCUGUCAAACUGUUCUGAAUGUGUGAGGCUCUUCAUUCGAUGUACAAAAACCACAAGAUUAUCUAAAUAGAUGCAGAAAAGGCCUUCGAUAAAAAUCCUCAUUCCUUCAUGUUAAAAACUCUCAAUAAACUAGGUAUUGAAGGAACAUACCUCAAAAUAAUAAGAGCCAUUUAUGACAAACUCACAGCCAGUGUCCUUACUGAAUGGGCAAAAGCUGAAAGCAUUCCCCUUGAAAACCAGCACAAGACAAGUUUGCCCUCUCUCCCAACCCCUAUUCAAUAUAGUAUUGGAAGUUAUGGCCACGGCAAUCGGGCAAGAGAAAAAAAUGAAGAGUAUUUAAAUGGGAAAAGAGGAAGUCAAACUAUCUUUUUUUGCAGGUGACAUAAUCCUAU
rnacentral:lncRNA from 10 species